AGCGCAACCCCUAUCCGUCAGUUGCCAUCAUUAAGUUGGGCACUCUGUGGAGACUGCCGGUGUCAAACCGGAGGAAGGUGGGGAUGACGUCAAGUCCUCAUGGCCCUUAUGACCAGGGCUACACACGUGCUACAAUGGCCGGUACAAAGAGUUGCGAUACAGCGAUGUGGAGCUAAUCUCAUAAAGCCGGUCUCAGUUCGGAUUGGAGUCUGCAACUCGACUGCAUGAAGUUGGAAUCGCUAGUAAUCGUGGAUCAGCCAAGCCGCGGUGAAUACGUUCCCGGGCCUU
rnacentral:rRNA from 1 species